GCCUUGUCUCCCAGCAAUGCCACCACAGCACAGCUGCUUGUACUUGCACAGGCAAAGCUUAGGAAAAGAGUGACUCAGGAUGGAGAAGGGGACGUCGGCUCCUGAGGAAGACGCAGAACAACAGACACUAGUCACCUCGACCUCAGACAAGGGGGGCUGUUGACAUCUCUGAGACACAAAACCAGAAGUCAGAAAAGGGAGGCGCUCCCUCAGCCAUGUCGAGGAGGAGACGGCGCAUGCACUGGACAGCGAGUACAUCUCCCCCCGCAGUGCCACGGCUGUGAGUGUAACUCAAGGUCCCACUGGCUAUACACAGACUCAAGCCACAGCCACCUAAAGUCACCUUCGCGUGCCACCAUGCAACCACUCACUGGCUGGGGCCACCAAACCCUGGAGCCAGUCUCAAGCCUCACGUGUACCAGAGGCUCAGACACAAACACCGCCAGAGCUCAGCCCUCUCUGCAGAGGGGUGAGUCACACACUUCCCACAGUCCUUCACUGCCUUGGCGCCUACCUAUGCAGAGGUCCUGCUCUCCCUCUGCCUAGGGCUACAUCCCCGGAUGCUGGACACCAGGGUGCAGUGAUAGCCCGGCCAGGAUGGAGAUGCCAAGUGAGAAAUUAAAGUGCAGAUUACGAUGUUUAUCAGCAUCACUAUAAAAGGGGAGAGAUGUGGAUGCACCCAUCAGGACAGGGGAGCAACCACACAAAGCCUCUGUGAGAUGGGCCUCCUGGGGUGUGUGUCUUUGGGAACUCUGGGGUGCUGAGGGGGAGAACUAGCCCCAGGAGAAGCAGCACUUGCAGAACGCCCACAGCCUGAGGUCCCAACCCACAACGCUAAUGAUCAACCAAUGCAGGACCGCGAGGAGAAACGUCUCUGGAUAAGAUCGUGAGCAGGCUUGAGGGGACCUCUGGUCUGAGAGACACUGUGCCACCUCCUGACUGAGGCUAGGAAGAGGUAUCCAGAAGGUCCAACCCGCUACCAGAGAGUGACAACCACAGUGUGUCAGGGUCAGAGAGAAGUGACGACCCACACGGAAUUAUGGCCUCCAAAUGACCCUCAGUGAGCAGAGACAUCACAGCCUGGGUGAGGAUCCGAACCCUACGUGUGCCAACCCUGGCACUUGGCUCCCCUUUGCUUGCUGCAAUAGACUCCUAUGUGCGUAUACCUGAAUAUACAGAAACCACAGAAAAUGGACUAUGGUCUCUAUACCUGUAGCUCAAGGUCACCCUCAGCUAACAGGAAGCCUGAGACUACCCCAAACUACACGAGAAUAGCAAACUAGACCAAAACAAUAAACAAUGAAUCUACACAGCACCUUGACCCACCACAGCCGUCUAGUGGGUCCUCACACUUGCUGGUGCCACUGCCCAGGCUGCAUCUGGGAUGUGACCCCGAUGCUUCUGGUUCUCAGAGUGGCAGGCACUCCUGAACAUCAGUCUGGAUAAGGGAGACCUGUCCUAUACCUAAUGUCAAAGAUGUGCCCUCCCCCUCCCCACAGUGAGGCACCAGCCAAAGGGAACCACUGCUGUUUCCUCUCCCGACCACCAGGGGGCACUGAGACACCCGAGCUGCUACAGAGGGACCAGCAGACACCACUAUGUCUCUUCCAGCAGACACCACUGAUGCUGGAGACAUGGUUCCCAAAGCCUCCUUCAAAUCCCAGUCAAUACACUCAAAGAUUCUAAAACCUUCGGCCAAGAAAUUAAAACUCGGCCACCUCUAGUGACACGACUGCAAGGGUCUACUCUUUAAAUGACACAUGACAUGCCUAUGAAAUCUACCUACAGGCAGAAUGAAGGAUACCCAGCCAGUGGCCUAAUGACAGUUUCCCCCACCCCGGCCCACCCUUCUCCCAGCGCUGCCCACAGCAUGGUGACCCCAGACUCUGCCCUUACCAGUCUCCUGCUCCACCUCGGCUUUCUCUGCAAGCUGCUCAUGCUGGGAAUCUUUCUUCUGGGGGGCUGCGCCGAAGACACCAAUUGGAGCCCACUCCAGGUACAGGGGGACAUGGUGGAACUGCAGAAACAGGGUGCCAAGGCUGUGGGUCCCCAUCUAAGACCUAGCUGGAGACUGAGUGCUGCUUGACAGAAGGGCCAGAGAUGACUGACAGAGCCAGGAGAAGCCAGCUGGGUACAGAGCCCUUCCUGCACUGGCAGGGCCCAGGGCCCUCUGUACAACCAGGUACCUGAGCAUAGCCUGCAGACACUAAUGUAAGACACAGGUCAUGACAUAUACAAGCCCCAGGCACACAGAAAUUCCUUGUACUGAGCGGAAUAGUGCCUCGCCAAGACACAGUCAAGUCUUGACCUUGAGCCCCAGCCUGUGACCGUGACCUUGGCAAUAGGAGGCAGAUCUUGGGGUGAGACUGUGCUAUCUGGCUGGGCUGUAAGUUUGAUACACGAGUCGGGAGGUUGGAAUGGGAUGGGCAGAGGUGAGUGGGUGAGACUGGGCUGCCAAUCAAGCUGUGAGAUCAGAAUCCUCCGUCUCAUGCCACCAAGCUGGCAGCGGCCCCUUGUCACAACAGCCUGGGAAACUCAUAUCUGCUGUUUUCUUUUCUUUAACCAAAAGUGAGGAGACAGCCCCAGGUACAGCCGUAAUGCCCACCAUGGGGCAGCAGGCUCCAAGAGGGAAGGUGGGUUUGGGCAGAGCCUGUGUGAGCGAGGCCCAUGCUAGCCUGGGGGCAACUCUAACUCUUGGAGUCCCUCUGGUGCCCCACCAGGAUCAGCGGCCAUACCUUAGAAUAGGCCAGGUGCCUGAAAGCCUUGCGGGCCUCCAGCGGCUCUAGGAACUCUACGAUGGCCGUGAUGCCACCUUCAGGCAGGAGCACGCGACCCAGGCUGCCGAAGCGACUGAAGGUCUCCUGGAUCUCGGCCGCCAGAGUACCUGCCGGGAGGUUCUUAGCCAGGAUCACAGUCUUACUUCGCUCCGCUGCAGCCUGGAGGGGGGGAGGGGGAUGGGGGUGGGGCAGAGAUGAAUGUGUGGAGGGACAACAGGAAGGUGACCUCAGCAUGGCUUCAGUACUGGCCAUUGGUAUUGCCUCAGCAGAGAGGCCCCAUCCAGGCUCCUAGCAAAUAUGCUUGGACAGCCAAACUGAGGUUGGGGGUUGUUGGGGGUUGUUCGCUCACUCCAUGCCCCUCUUGGAAAGACAGCUUUGCAGAGGGGCUGGAGCCCAAGACUCCAGGCCACACCUCUCCUGAUUUACCCCAAGCCACAUGGAAUCCAACAGUCCCCAACCAUAACCCAGACUGGAGAUCCCAAGGUGGCCCCAUGGGCUUCCAAAGGACAUGAACCACAUCUCAAUGCCCAGGCUCCUUCCUAGCAGCACAGACCUGUUCCCUCUGUGUGGAAGGCAGGAAGAGCUAGGGACUCUUAUCCCCAAGUGCACGCUGUCCUCUGCAGGGGACAGUCUGAGGGACCAGUGCUGAAGGCUUCAUCUUGGCUCAGGUUCCCCUCCCCCACAGGAUCCAUCUCUCCAGCCUCUCAGGAAAUUCUCCCCUGGCUCUGCUCGACUAUAGACUCACUGUGUACAGUAAAGACUCACCUGGCUGAAAGAGUCCAGGCAGACCCCAUUGUCAAUAAGGAAGCUUCGGACCUCCUGGACCAGCUGGGUCUCCCCCAGAGCCACACGCACGGCCACGCUGCCCCUGGUCUCCUGUGGGAGGAAGGGAAGAGGCCCGGAUGCUGUCAGGAGGUGGCUCAGAGGGAAAUGCCUGUGUGCACACCCAUCGUUCUUCACACUCCUCUGGACAAAGUAAAUCUGGGAGCCCUUGGUCCCUUUCUAGCUUUGCCUUGCCCCACGGCUCAUGAUGCCCUCCCCUGGCUUUCCUUGGGGAGAUGGCCCUGCUGUUCUUUCUACAGCUCACUGCCUGCAGGGUCUUCUGAUGCACCCACCUCAGCCUGAGCCAGCUCCUACCCCAGACUCUCCUGUCAUAUCUGUCACCUUGCUGAGCAGCUCUGAGGUGCUAUGACCACUCCUUUGUGUCUCUCUCCAGUAGAGGGCACCGAAGAGCAGUCCCCUUCUGUCCCGGGCAUGGCUGACAUUUGAGCCACUGAAACUGUCCCCUUAAAUUAGGUCAUGCUGUGGCUGCUCAAAACAGUGGCCAGUGUCUCUAAAUGUGGCCCACUCCAUUCCAUCUCCCACCAAGGGUAAAACACACGCCAGCACCAGACAGUUAAGGAAAAAUAGAUCGUGCUGUUUUCGUGUUGAGUACAUGUUCCAAUCAUAAUAUUUUAGAUAUACUGACUUAUGCCAUGAAAGUGAACCCUGCCCGCUUCCCCCUGCUCCUCUGAAAUAUAGUCAUUAUCACC
rnacentral:lncRNA from 1 species